GGAAGUAAAAGUCGUAACAAGGUCUCCGUUGGUGAACCAGCGGAGGGAUCAUUACCGAGUUUACAACUCCCAAACCCCAAUGUGAACGUUACCAAUCUGUUGCCUCGGCGGGUUAUUCUCUCUGCCCCGGGCGCGUCGCAGCCCCGGACCAAGGCGCCCGCCGGAGGACCAACUCUCAAACUCUUUUUGUACAUCCCUUCGCGGAUUUUCUAUUACUUCUGAGCUUUCUCGGCGCUCCUAGCGAGCGUUUCGAAAAUGAAUCAAAACUUUCAACAACGGAUCUCUUGGUUCUGGCAUCGAUGAAGAACGCAGCGAAAUGCGAUAAGUAAUGUGAAUUGCAGAAUUCAGUGAAUCAUCGAAUCUUUGAACGCACAUUGCGCCCGCCAGUAUUCUGGCGGGCAUGCCUGUCCGAGCGUCAUUUCAACCCUCGAGCCCCUCCGGGGGGUCGGCGUUGGGGAUCGGCUUACCACUUGCCGGCCCCGAAAUACAGUGGCGGUCUCGCCGCAGCCUCUCCUGCGCAGUAGUUUGCACACUCGCAACGGGAGCGCGGCGCGUCCACGUCCGUAAAACACCCAACUUCUGAAAGGUUGACCUCGGAUCAGGUAGGAAUACCCGCUGAACUUAAGCAUAUCAAUAAGCGGA
rnacentral:rRNA from 1 species